GGAGGAAAGCAGGGGAUCGCAAGACCUUGCGCUUUUGGAGCGGCCGAUGCCUGAUUAGCUUGUUGGUAAGGUAAAAGCUUACCAAGGCUUCGAUCAGUAGCUGGUCUGAGAGGACGGCCAGCCACACUGGGACUGAGACACGGCCCAGACUCCUACGGGAGGCAGCAGUGGGGAAUUUUGGACAAUGGGGGCAACCCUGAUCCAGCCAUGCCGCGUGAGUGAAGAAGGCCUUCGGGUUGUAAAGCUCUUUCAGCCGGAACGAAACGGUUACGGUUAAUAUCCGUGACUACUGACGGUACCGGAAGAAGAAGCACCGGCUAACUACGUGCCAGCAGCCGCGGUAAUACGUAGGGUGCGAGCGUUAAUCGGAAUUACUGGGCGUAAAGCGUGCGCAGGUGGUUUUGUAAGUCAGAUGUGAAAGCCCCGGGCUCAACCUGGGAACUGCGUUUGAAACUACAAGGCUA
rnacentral:rRNA from 1 species